AUGGAAAAGAGAUGUCAUACCAUGGAUGAAUGUCUUCAUCAUGCCAGCUUGAUCGACAUUGUAUUCUCUUGGACUCUCGACGAUCUUCUUGAUCAAAAUAUUUUCAAAUACCAGGUACAAAAGGUUCCAAAAACAUUCUCUUCAAUAAAUGAUUACAUAAAUUCGUUCUUUCCUACAUUGAUUGAGGAAACACAUGGGGAUUUGUCUUCAAGCUUCACUAUUACGGAAAAGACAUUUGAUAACGGUUGGGAAAGAUAA